GACGAACGCUGGCGGCGUGCUUAACACAUGCAAGUCGAACGGAAAGGCCCUGCUUUUGUGGGGUGCUUGAGUGGCGAACGGGUGAGUAACACGUGAGUAACCUGCCCUUGACUUUGGGAUAACUUCAGGAAACUGGGGCUAAUACCGGAUAGGAGCUCCUGCUGCAUGGUGGGGGUUGGAAAGUUUCGGCGGUUGGGGAUGGACUCGCGGCCUAUCAGCUUGUUGGUGGGGUAGUGGCUUACCAAGGCUUUGACGGGUAGCCGGCCUGAGAGGGUGGCCGGCCACAUUGGGACUGAGAUACGGCCCAGACUCCUACGGGAGGCAGCAGUGGGGAAUAUUGCACAAUGGGCGGAAGCCUGAUGCAGCAACGCCGCGUGCGGGAUGACGGCCUUCGGGUUGUAAACCGCUUUCGCCUGUGACGAAGCGUGAGUGACGGUAAUGGGUAAAGAAGCACCGGCUAACUACGUGCCGGCAGCCGCGGUGAUACGUAGGGUGCGAGCGUUGUCCGGAUUUAUUGGGCGUAAAGGGCUCGUAGGUGGUUGAUCGCGUCGGAAGUGUAAUCUUGGGGCUUAACCCUGAGCGUGCUUUCGAUACGGGUUGACUUGAGGAAGGUAGGGGAGAAUGGAAUUCCUGGUGGAGCGGUGGAAUGCGCAGAUAUCAGGAGGAACACCAGUGGCGAAGGCGGUUCUCUGGGCCUUUCCUGACGCUGAGGAGCGAAAGCGUGGGGAGCGAACAGGCUUAGAUACCCUGGUAGUCCACGCUGUAAACGGUGGGUACUAGGUGUGGGGUCCAUUCCACGGGUUCCGUGCCGUAGCUAACGCUUUAAGUACCCCGCCUGGGGAGUACGGCCGCAAGGCUAAAACUCAAAGGAAUUGACGGGGCCCCGCACAAGCGGCGGAGCAUGCGGAUUAAUUCGAUGCAACGCGUAGAACCUUACCUGGGUUUGACAUGGAUCGGGAGUGCUCAGAGAUGGGUGUGCCUCUUUUGGGGUCGGUUCACAGGUGGUGCAUGGCUGUCGUCAGCUCGUGUCGUGAGAUGUUGGGUUAAGUCCCGCAACGAGCGCAACCCUUGUUCACUGUUGCCAGCACGUUAUGGUGGGGACUCAGUGGAGACCGCCGGGGUCAACUCGGAGGAAGGUGGGGAUGACGUCAAGUCAUCAUGCCCCUUAUGUCCAGGGCUUCACGCAUGCUACAAUGGCUGGUACAGAGAGUGGCGAGCCUGUGAGGGUGAGCGAAUCUCGGAAAGCCGGUCUCAGUUCGGAUUGGGGUCUGCAACUCGACCUCAUGAAGUCGGAGUCGCUAGUAAUCGCGGAUCAGCAACGCUGCGGUGAAUAAGUUCCCGGG
rnacentral:rRNA from 1 species